rnacentral:rRNA from 1 species
AUGGCGACUUGCAUUCGUAAGGUGGCCUCGAAGGAGCUUGGAGUGUCCAGGGGAAGGAGAAGCGAAGAUAAGGAUACCUGGUGGUGGAAUGAUGAUGUCCAGAAGGCGAUUAAAGAGAAGAAAGAUUGCUUCAAACGCCUAUACCUGGAUAGGAGUGCAGACAACAUAGAGAAGUACAAGAUGGCGAAGAAGGCCGCAAAGCGAGUUGUUGGUGCAGCAAGGGGUCGGGCAUAUGAGGACCUCUACCAACGGUUAGGCACGAAGGAAGGUGAAGGGACAUCUAUAAGAUGGCCAAGAUCCGAGAGAGGAAGACGAGGGAUAUUGGCCAAGUCAAAUGCACCAAGGACGGAGCAGGCCAACUCUUGGUGA